GACGAACGCUGGCGGCGGGCCUAAUACAUGCAAGUAGAACGCAGUUGCGAACGGGUGAGUAACGCGUAGGUAACUGCCUCAUAGCGGGGGUUAACUCUUGGAAACGAAAGCUAAACCCGCAAACUGUGACAUAGACCUGCGUGGUAUUAGCUAGUUGGUGAGGUAAAGGCUCACCAAGGCCACGAUACAUAGCCGACCUGGAAGGGAGAACGGCCACAACUGGACCGAGAAAACGCCCAGACUCCGACGGGAAGCAGCAGUAGGGAAACUUCGGAAAUUGACGUAAGGCUGACCGGGCAACGCCGCGGGAUUGAAAGAAGUUUUCGGAUCGUAAAGCUCUGUUGUUGGAGAAGCGGUAACUGACGAGAAAGGAACGGCUAACUACGUGCCAGCAGCCGCGGUAAUAC
rnacentral:rRNA from 1 species